rnacentral:rRNA from 1 species
UACAGAGGGUGCAAGCGUUGUUCGGAAUUAUUGGGCGUAAAGGGCGCGUAGGCGGUGCGGUAAGUCACCUGUGAAACCUCUGGGCUUAACUCAGAGCCUGCAGGCGAAACUGCCGUGCUUGAGUGUGGGAGAGGUGCGUGGAAUUCCCGGUGUAGCGGUGAAAUGCGCAGAUAUCGGGAAGAACACCGGUGGCGAAGGCGGCUCUCUGGGCCUGUCCUGACGCUCAGGCGCGAAAGCUAGGGGAGCGAACAGG